rnacentral:tRNA from 1 species
GUUUUUAUGGUGUACUGGUUAGCACUCUGGACUUUGAAUUCUGCAAUCCAAGUUCAAAUCUCGGUAGAACCU